AUGGAACACAGCGCCUGUCUGGCAGGCGGAUGUUCCCAGCAGCCUUCUCUGGCUUCUGGGGCUCAGCACAGCACACGGUGCCUCACAACCCCAGGGCCGGCGGCUGGGAUGCUUACCACCCACCCUGGCCAGCUCCUAGCCCAGCUGCUGAGCACGGAGCAGGCAAGAGGGCGCCUCUUCUUCCUCCCCCGCCCCUCCCCCAGGGCCCCUCCAGACCUCACUGUCCCAUCUAAACAGCAGUCCCUGGACUUUGCCCACUGUCACUGCGUGGGGACACACCCAGAGUCCCAGCAGCCGCCCGCCCUUGCAGGCCCUCUGAGGGCAGCACCUGUCCAUUCCGCAAAUGCAAUCCCGGCUUCGGUGGCAACGCCCUCUGCCCCUGAGGACUCGGCUUCACACGCACCUGCAGGGCAGCUAUGCUGUCCCCAUUUCACAGACGGGGAAACUGAGGUCUACCACAGGGCGGAGGCACAGGGUCCAGGCUGGCUUUUCCUGCCACCAGAGUGGCUGAAAGAAGCCUGUUCCACAAGCCCAGGCAGCGCGGUACCCGCGGGCAGAGCCGGGUCUCCCGCCAAGGGGACGGGGGUGUGCCUCCGCGGGGUCCCCGCCCACCACCCCGAGUCCCUGCGUCUCGGGCCCUGUGACCCGGGCGCACAUCCCCGCGCCUCACGGCCAACCCUCGGCCGCCCACCGCCCAGCCCGCGCGGGACUUCCCCGCCGCCGGCCGGCCCCAUGCACGGUCACCCGCGCGCGCACUGCGCCCGGGGUCCAGCCCGCGCGUCCCCGCCAGCGGCCCGGAUGCCCGCUGUCCCCGCCCGCUCGCUGCCCGCACCUCCGCUCCCGACCUCCUCCGGGGGGCUGCGCCCACAGCCGCCCGCAGCCGCCCCGGCGCCAGGCGUCCUUCCAGGCUGCGCCUCACUCACCGGCUCCCGGCGCGCCCGAGCUCCGGGCCCGGCCCAUGGGCAGUGCCCGCUGCGCCCGCUGCCAGCCGCGGCGCCGCGGACCCGGGGCGCUGCCCGCGCCCGCCGCCCGCCGCCGGUGCGCUGGCGGCCGGCCCCUGAGGAGCGCGGUGCGGCGCCCCCUCGCGGCCGCACAGGGGAGCGCAGGGCGGGAGGGGCGCGGGGUGGAGCCGCGCAGCCCUCUCCCCGCUGCCCAGCCCGCGCCUCCCGACGCCUCGCUGCCUUGCCCUUCGGGCCCCUGCACUGCUCCUAG
rnacentral:lncRNA from 1 species